rnacentral:rRNA from 1 species
GAUGAACGCUAGCGGCAGGCCUAAUACAUGCAAGUCGAACGGGAUUAAGAGGCUUGCUUCUUAUGAGAGUGGCGCACGGGUGCGUAACACGUAUGCAACCUACCUUCAACUGGGGGAAAGCCUUCCGAAAGGGAGAUUAAUACCGCAUAACAUAAUUGAGUGGCAUCACUUGAUUAACAAAAGUCAGGGUUGAAGAUGGGCAUGCGUCCGAUUAGUUGGUUGGGGAGGUAACGGCUCACCAAGACUACGAUCGGUAGGGGAUCUGAGAGGAUGGCCCCCCACACUGGUACUGAGACACGGACCAGACUCCUACGGGAGGCAGCAGUAAGGAAUAUUGGUCAAUGGACGGAAGUCUGAACCAGCCAUGCCGCGUGCAGGAAGACGGUCCUCUGGGUUGUAAACUGCUUUUGUUAGGGAAGAAACUUCCGUACGUGUACGGGACUGACGGUACCUAAAGAAUAAGGAUCGGCUAACUCCGUGCCAGCAGCCGCGGUAA